CCAGCCACCGCGGUUACACGAUUAACCCUAGCUAAUAGGAACCGGCGUAGAGGGUGUUUAAGAUCUGACAUAAUAAAGCUAAACUCCAUCUAAACUGUAAAACUCUAGCUGAUGUAAAAUAAACUACGAAAGUGGCUUUAAAGUUUCUGAACACACAAUAGCCAGGACCCAAACUGGGAUUAGACACCCUACUAUGCUUGGCCCUAAACCUCAGUAGUUAGAUAACAAAACUACUCGCCAGAAUACUACGAGCUACAGCUUAAAACUCAAAGGACUUGACGGUGCUUUACACCCCCUAGAGGAGCCUGUUCCGUAAUCGAUAAACCCCGAUCCACCCCACCCUCUCUUGCUCAGCCUAUAUACCGCCAUCUUCAGCAAACCCUAAUGAAGGUCACAAAGUGAGCGCAAACGCCAUCACCGCGAAUACGUUAGGUC
rnacentral:rRNA from 1 species